AAAGUGGUUCCAAUUAAUAUUUUGGUCAAAUGGACUUUAUGUAAUAACUCACCCAAAACCAUUUGCUGGAUAACAAAAAUAUACAUUUUGGUACAUUUCUUACACAACGCUGUGAUAUGGCUUCAGAAAACUUGGAAUAUAAGGCAAAACUUGUAUAAACUACUUUUAUGAUAUUUCCAUGGUGCAUUCUUUUUGAAGUUUUAAAGCUUGAGACCAACUUCAGUGUGAUUAAAUCGGCAACCUGUCAAAUCAAAUCAUAUGGGUUCAGACCAAUAUGAGGAUAAGUAAAUGAACACAGAAUGUUCAUUUUUGGUAAAGUAUUCCUUAAAUUAUCUUUGUUCUUCAGAAAACAUUUGCUGAUUUGCGCAUUGAUAAAGAGCUCUGUGUUUUUUUACUGCAGGGUGAGUGGGCUCAACCAGGAUAGCGAGAAACCAUAAUCUGGGUGGAGUCCUGUGUUUUCUCCAUUUAACCAUUUCAGGAAGGAUCUCUGACCUGCAAUACCCUGAGAAGACGACCGUCUCUCAAGACAGACACUGGUACCAAAUCAUGUGGUCAGGUUAGCUGUGAUUUAUCAUUUCUGGUGAAUAAGUAAACAGACUGAGAAUGUGGAUGGUGCCUACCUGCUCUGUGUCUGUGAGAGUGUAGCGUGCUUUGAAGU